UACGGAAGGCAGCAGUGGGGAAUAUUGGACAAUGGGCGAAAGCCUGAUCCAGCCAUGCCGCAUGAGUGAAGAAGGCCUUCGGGUUGUAAAGCUCUUUUAGUGAGAAAGAUAAUGACGGUACUCACAGAAGAAGUCCUGGCUAACUCCGUGCCAGCAGCCGCGGUAAUACGGAGAGGGCUAGCGUUAUUCGGAAUUAUUGGGCGUAAAGAGCGCGUAGGCUGAUUAGUAGUUAAAAGUGAAAUCCCAAAGCUUAACUUUGGAAUUGCUUUUUAAAACUGCUAGUCUAGAGAUUUGAAAGAGGAUAGAGGAAUUCCUAGUGUAGAGGUGAAAUUCGUAAAUAUUAGGAGGAACACCAGUGGCGAAGGCGUCUAUCUGGUUCAAAUCUGACGCUGAGGCGCGAAGGGCGUGGGGAGCAAACAGGGAUUAGAUACC
rnacentral:rRNA from 1 species